rnacentral:snRNA from 1 species
AUCACUUCUCAGCCUUUGAAAUGUAGUAUCUGUUCUUACCAGCUUAAUAUCUGAUAUGUCCCGUAUCUAAAGAAAUACUAGUUUGUCAGGAAAGUCAUGAUGUAUUUUUUUGUUUGUCAAUGCAAAAAUGGGUCAUGAUUUUUGUUGAUGACCAAAUAUAUUAAAUGGACUUUUGGAGCAGGGAAAUGCAAUAGUAGCUUACUCCAUCCACUCCAUGGAUUGACCUGGUAUCGCAUUAACUCCAGGAAUGGUGCAUGCAUG